GAUGAAUGCUGGCGGCGUGCCUAACACAUGCAAGUCGAGCGGCAGCGCAGGUAGUUUACUACCUGGCGGCGAGCGGCGGACGGCUGAGUAACGCGUGGGAACAUGCCCCAAAGUGAGGAAUAACUGCCCGAAAGGGUAGCUAAUGCCGCAUAUGAUCUUCGGAUUAAAGCCUUCGGGCGCUUUGGGAGUGGCCUGCGUACGAUUAGAUUGUUGGUGAGGUAAUGGCUCACCAAGUCGACGAUCGUUAACUGGUCUGAGAGGAUGAUCAGUCAGACUGGAACUGAGACACGGUCCAGACUCCUACGGGAGGCAGCAGUGAGGAAUCUUCCACAAUGGGCGAAAGCCUGAUGGAGCAACGCCGCGUGAGGGACGACGGCCUUCGGGUUGUAAACCUCUUUUAGCAGGGAAGAAGCGAAAGUGACGGUACCUGCAGAAAAAGCACCGGCUAACUACGUGCCAGCCGCCGCCGUAAUAC
rnacentral:rRNA from 1 species